UAGAAACAAGCACAGGUUUUCAGUACAAGAUGUUGCAAGUGUGGACCUUCUUUAUUUUACAAAAGUACACUGCACAUCAUCACAUAUUUACGAGACCGAUAUGAUAAUGAAUAUAUCACAUGACACAAAUCACCCCAUUCUGGUACUCAGUUCUUAAAGUUACAGUUACUAUUAUAUACACUACACUACUCUCAACCACA